rnacentral:rRNA from 1 species
UGGGGAAUAUUGCACAAUGGGGGAAACCCUGAUGCAGCAACGCCGCGUGAGUGAAGAAGUAUUUCGGUACGUAAAGCUCUAUCAGCAGGGAAGAAAAAAGACGGUACCUGACUAAGAAGCCCCGGCUAACUACGUGCCAGCAGCCGCGGUAAUACGUAGGGGGCGAGCGUUAUCCGGAUUUACUGGGUGUAAAGGGAGCGUAGACGGCCAGACAAGUCUGAAGUGAAAGCCCGUGGCUCAACCGCGGAACGGCUUUGGAAACUGCCGGGCUGGAGUACUGGAGAGGCAAGCGGAAUUCCUAGUGUAGCGGUGAAAUGCGUAGAUAUUAGGAGGAACACCAGUGGCGAAGGCGGCUUGCUGGACAGAAACUGACGUUGAGGCUCGAAAGCGUGGGGAGCAAACAGG